ACCCCUGCAUAACGCCUUAACCAUUACUCUUAGGAGCCGUUUGGUUAGAUGUAAUUAUAAAUACAGUAUAAUUAAAGAUGCAUGCAUCUGAAAAUGUAGCAGUUAUAACUAUAUGCAUCAUGUUUGGUUAAAUGUAGUAGAAAGCGUUGUAACUAUAAAUAAUUUAUUUGACUGCAUACAGUUGAGAAAUAAUUUUUAAAAUUUUAUCAUUUUAUAUAUAUGAUGAUGAAAUUACCUCCAAUGUAAAAAAAUAUAUAUAUUUUUUGUUUAAAAAAUAUUUAAAGAGGUAGGGUUAUCUUUUGUUUAAAGUUACAUUCUCUAACUGCUGCAGUUGGAAUUGCGGCCGAUUUGGGCGUAGGUCCAACUGCUGCAGUUGGACCUUCUCCUGCUAUUCCUACUGCAGCAAUUGGAGUUAAAUACAGCAAACCAAACACCGAAUUUACAUUUACAUGCAAUUACAACUGCCGUACAGUUAAUCAAUUGAUUACGCAUGAUAGAGAAGCAUUUUCAUGAUCUCUAUUCCU
rnacentral:lncRNA from 1 species